rnacentral:rRNA from 1 species
ACGAACGCUGGCGGCGUGCUUAACCCAUGCAAGUCGAACGGAAAGGCCCUGCUUUUGUGGGGUGCUCGAGUGGCGAACGGGUGAGUAACACGUGAGUAACCUGCCCUUGACUUUGGGAUAACUUCAGGAAACUGGGGCUAAUACCGGAUAGGAGCUCCUGCUGCAUGGUGGGGGUUGGAAAGUUUCGGCGGUUGGGGAUGGACUCGCGGCUUAUCAGCUUGUUGGUGGGUAGUGGCUUACCAAGGCUUUGACGGGUAGCCGGCCUGAGAGGGUGACCGGCCACAUUGGGACUGAGAUACGGCCCAGACUCCUACGGGAGGCAGCAGUGGGGAAUAUUGCACAAUGGGCGGAAGCCUGAUGCAGCAACGCCGCGUGCGGGAUGACGGCCUUCGGGUUGUAAACCGCUUUCGCCUGUGACGAAGCGUGAGUGACGGUAAUGGGUAAAGAAGCACCGGCUAACUACGUG